rnacentral:sRNA from 1 species
AGGGUCACACAUGGGGCCGGUGCUGCUGGACACAGGGCACCUCCCAACUCCCUGCCCUGUACUCUGCGCUUGCCCCUGUCCCAACAGGUUCCCCUUCUACUUUGAACUGAAGAUCGCCUUCGUGAUAUGGCUGCUGUCCCCUUACACCAAGGGCUCCAGCGUGCUCUACCGCAAGUUCGUGCACCCAACGCUGUCCAACAAGGAGAAGGAGAUCGACGAGUACAUCACGCAGGCCCGAGACAAGAGCUAUGAGACCAUGAUGAGGGUGGGCAAGAGGGGCCUGAACCUUGCCGCCAAUGCUGCAGUCACAGCUGCCGCCAAGGGCCAGGGGGUGCUGUCAGAGAAGCUCCGCAGCUUCAGCAUGCAGGACCUGACCCUGAUCCGGGACGAGGACGCACUGCCUCUGCAGAGGCCUGACGGCCGCCUCCGACCCAGCCCUGGCAGCCUCCUGGACACCAUCGAGGACUUAGGAGAUGACCCUGCCCUGAGUCUAAGGUCCAGCACAAACCCGGCAGAUUCCCGGACAGAGGCUUCUGAGGAUGACAUGGGAGACAAAGCUCCCAAGAGGGCCAAACCCAUCAAAAAAGCGCCCAAAGCUGAGCCACUGGCUUCCAAGACACUGAAGACCCGGCCCAAGAAGAAGACCUCUGGCGGGGGCGACUCAGCUUGAGCCCCUCCACCCCCGCAGGCUGCAGAGCAAGGAUGAAGCCUCAGGAG